rnacentral:rRNA from 1 species
UGAGGAAUAUUGCACAAUGGACGCAAGUCUGAUGCAGCGACGCCGCGUGCGGGAAGACGGAGCUCUGCUCUGUAAACCGCUGUAGCCCGGGAAGAAAGCCGCCUUAGAGGCGAGAGACUGUACCGGGAAAGUAAGGAUCGGCUAACUACGUGCCAGCAGCCGCGGUAAUACGUAGGAUCCAAGCGUUGUCCGGAUUUACUGGGUGUAAAGGGUGCGCAGGCGGACUAGUAAGUCAGGGGUGAAAUCCCGCAGCUCAACUGCGGAACUGCCUUUGAUACUGUUAGUCUUGAGUGUGAGAGAGGUUCGUGGAAUUUCCGGUGUAGCAGUGAAAUGCGUAGAUAUCGGAAAGAACACCAGUGGCGAAGGCGGCGAACUGGCUCACAACUGACGCUCAGGCACGAAAGCGUGGGGAUCAAACAGG